UCAAGCUACAAAGGGCGCAUGGUGAAUGCCUUGGCAUCAGGAGCCGAUGAAGGACGUGAUAAGCUGCGAUAAGCUUCGGGUAGGCGCACAUAGCCUGAGAUCCGAAGAUCUCCGAAUGAGGAAACUCACAUGGGAAACCCCAUGUAUCAUUAAGUGAAUACAUAGCUUAAUGAAGGUAACCCAGGGAACUGAAACAUCUAAGUACCUGGAGGAAGAGAAAGAAAAAUCGAUUUUCUUAGUAGCGGCGAGCGAAAGGGAAAGAGCCCAAACCGGAAACUUGUUUCCGGGGUUGUGGACAUAGCAUGAAAGUGGAGGCUAUUGUAACUGAAGAGAACUGGAAAGUUCCACCGUAGAAGGUAAUAGUCCUGUAAGUGAAACGAGAAGACCACGAGUUAUGAUCCAGAGUACCACGAGACACGUGAAACCUUGUGGGAAGCAGGGAGGACCACCUCCCAAGGCUAAAUACUACCUGAUGACCGAUAGUGAAGCAGUACCGUGAGGGAAAGGUGAAAAGAACCCCGGGAGGGGAGUGAAAUAGAACCUGAAACCGUGUGCCUACAACCGCUCAGAGCCCCUUAUGAGGGUGAUGAGGUGCUUUUUGUAGAACGAGCCAACGAGUUACGGUAUGUAGCAAGGUUAAGUACUUAAGGUACGGAGCCGAAGGGAAACCGAGUCUGAAUAGGGCGACUAGUUGCAUGCCGUAGACCCGAAACCGGGUGACCUAUCCAUGGCCAGGUUGAAGCGAGGGUAAAACCUCGUGGAGGACCGAACCACGUUGCUGUUGAAAAAGCAUGGGAUGAGCUGUGGAUAGCGGAGAAAUUCCAAUCGAACCCGGAGAUAGCUGGUUCUCUCCGAAAUAGCUUUAGGGCUAGCGUCGAGUAUGAGUAGUGGAGGUAGAGCACUGAAUGGGCUAGGGGGCAUAGCGCUUACCGAACCUUAUCAAACUCCGAAUGCCACAUACUUUGAGCUCGGCAGUCAGACUACGAAUGAUAAGAUCCGUGGUCAAAAGGGAAACAGCCCAGAUCGUCAGCUAAGGUCCCAAAGUGUAAGUUAAGUGGGAAAGGAUGUGAGAUUUCUAAGACAACUAGGAUGUUGGCUUAGAAGCAGCCAUUCAUUAAAAGAGUGCGUAAUAGCUCACUAGUCGAGAGAUCUUGCGCCGAAAAUGUAACGGGGCUAAACUUACCACCGAAGCUACGGGCUUGAACUUAGUUCAAGCGGUAGGAGAGCGUCGUAACCGGGCUGAAGUCGUACCGUAAGGAGCGGUGGACUGGUUACGAGUGAGAAUGUUGGCAUCAGUAGCGAGAUGUGGGUGAGAAUCCCACAGGCCGAAAACCUAAGGUUUCCUCAGGAAGGUUCGUCCGCUGAGGGUUAGUCGGGACCUAAGCCGAGGCCGAAAGGCGUAGGUGAUGGACAACUGGUUGAUAUUCCAGUACCACUACCAUCGUUAUUAUCGAUGGCGUGACGCAGGAGGAUAGUGUGUGCUAGCUAUUGGAUGCUAGUCUAAGCGUUUAGGCAGUGAGAGUAGGCAAAUCCGCUCUCAUAAUGCUGAGGCGUGAUGGGGAAGGUUCCACGGAACCGAAGUACAUGAUUCCACGCUGCCAAGAAAAGCGUCUAGAGAGAGAAGUAGUGCCCGUACCGCAAACCGACACAGGUAGGUGAGGAGAGAAUCCUAAGGCCGGCGGAAGAAUUACAGUUAAGGAACUCGGCAAAUUGACCCCGUAAGUUCGCGAGAAGGGGUGCCUACGAGAGUAGGCCGCAGAGAAUAGGCCCAAGCAACUGUUUAGCAAAAACACAGGUCUCUGCUAAAGCGUAAGCUGAUGUAUAGGGGCUGACGCCUGCCCGGUGCUGGAAGGUUAAGGGGAACACUUAGCGCAAGCGAAGGUGUGAACUUAAGCCCCAGUAAACGGCGGCCGUAACUAUAACGGUCCUAAGGUAGCGAAAUUCCUUGUCAGGUAAGUUCUGACCCGCACGAAUGGCGUAAUGACUUGGGCACUGUCUCAACUGUAAAUCCGGCGAAGUUGUAGUGCGAGUGAAGAUGCUCGCUACCCGCGAUUGGACGGAAAGACCCCGUAGAGCUUUACUGUAGCUUAGCAUUGAGUUUUGGUAUUGUCUGUACAGGAUAGGUGGGAGACUAGGAAACCAGGGCGUCAGCCUUGGUGGAGUCAACCUUGGGAUACCACCCUGACAGUACUGAAAUUCUAACUGGCGGCCAUGAAUCUGGUCACAGGACAUUGUUAGGUGGGCAGUUUGACUGGGGCGGUCGCCUCCUAAAAAGUAACGGAGGCGCCCAAAGGUUCCCUCAGAACGGUCGGAAAUCGUUCGAAGAGUGCAAAGGCAGAAGGGAGCCUGACUGCGACACCCACAAGUGGAGCAGGGACGAAAGUCGGGCUUAGUGAUCCGGUGGUACCUCGUGGGAGGGCCAUCGCUCAACGGAUAAAAGCUACCUCGGGGAUAACAGGCUGAUCUCCCCCAAGAGUCCACAUCGACGGGGAGGUUUGGCACCUCGAUGUCGGCUCGUCGCAUCCUGGGGCUGUAGUCGGUCCCAAGGGUUGGGCUGUUCGCCCAUUAAAGCGGCACGCGAGCUGGGUUCAGAACGUCGUGAGACAGUUCGGUCCCUAUCCGUCGCGGGCGUAGGAAAUUUGAGAGGAGCUGUCCUUAGUACGAGAGGACCGGGAUGGACUGACCUCUGGUGUACCAGUUGUUCCGCCAGGAGCACAGCUGGGUAGCUAAGUCGGGAAUGGAUAAACGCUGAAAGCAUCUAAGCGUGAAGCCAACCUCAAGAUGAGAUUUCCCAUAGCGUAAGCUAGUAAGAUCCCUUGAAGAACACAAGGUUGAUAGGUCGGGGGUGUAAGCAUGGUAACAUGUUCAGCUGACCGAUACUAAUAGAUCGAGGGCUUGACCAA
rnacentral:rRNA from 1 species